CCCAGGUGGGAACAUGACAAUUGACAGGGAAACCAUUCAAACGAACGUCAUCUUCUUCUUCAAACAAUCAAACUGCUGCCCUUUCCUAUGUAGUCUCUCUCUCUCACACACACACACUGCGUGUUUGGUGUUCAAUAAGUUGCAGAAUCUUUUCAUUUCCCUUUUCUCUUCUUUGUUAUUUGUGGCAAAGAUAUGUUUGAAUAGUCAGAGGCCUGAAGUAAGGAUUGGUUGAAAUGGUUAAAAAAGAUAAGCAAAUUGUAUCACAGAAAUCUACUGAUUUUGAUGCAAUAUCCUGCAAUGAAUUGCGUAAAUUACUGCAAAAAGAAGGUGUGGACAAGAGCAACAUGGGCCUUAUGGAAUUAUAUUCCGAGCCAAGUAGGGCGAGGCCAAAUGAAGAAUUGAGAUUAAACGAUGAUGUUGAUGAACAUAACGAUGAUCCGGAUUAUAUGCUUAUGUUUAAAAAACUGAAGAAGCAUGGCAACGCGUAUAGAAUUGAAUACAUGGAAGAAGAUGGUUCGAGGGCUAUCAUCAAAUAUGAAGAAGCUUCUAGUUCAGACACAGAGUGUGAUCAAGAACAAAUCGAUGGACCUCUGAAUCAGAUGCCUCUUGCAGAGGUUCAAGGCACUCUCGAUUCACACCUUGCUCCGAGUAGGGAGGAGGUUGAGAACCUGACUAGCAGGGAUACGAGGAGCAAGUCCAACAAGGAGAGGAAAGAGAAUGCAAAGUUGCUGUCACACUCUACCUAUGUGCAUGCCCCUCACACUCCCAGUGUCAAAAGAGAUUUGGGUUUGGAUAAAAACUGUGGUCAACGCCAAUAUAGAAGGAAGUUGAGGAGUUAUGAUACGAAACUAAUUGAUGAACAUGUCAAUAGGGCAAAGGAGAUGAAGAAUCUGACUAGGACAGAUCCGCGGGUUAAGUCCAAGAGUGGGAAGGAAGAGAAUGUAGUGGUGAUGGAGCCUGUUUCUCGUACCUACCCACGAAAACGCAAAAGGAACAAGUGCAAGAGUGAGUAUGAUGAAGAGAAAAUCCAAUUCGAACCUGAUUAUCAUUUAUGGUAUGAAAAACUCAAGCCUGUCGACGAUCAUCUUAUGUAUACUGCCAGGGGUAUUGAAGUACUGUAUGAAAUGAAGAGUGGAGCGUGUGAUCGGAUGAAAGAGGAUGAGGAUGAUGAUCACUAUGACGACGAAUCCUCUGAUGUGGAAAUCAUUGACAGCGAUACAUUCUGCAAGAUGAAUAACAGGGACCGGUCUGCAUUUAGGGACAAGGUUAUUGCUGCUCUUAGAAAACCUUUUAAUCUCGAUGAGUAUAACAGGCUACGGCGAGAUAUCAAAUUCCGCCCAUUGAAAGGACGCCACAUGGAUCUACGUAAUGGGAGAGAAAGACAAAUGGGAACGAAGGGAGAUGGAAAGUGUUAUCUUCAUUACCAUCCAGCUGUCUUGUAAGGGGCUGAUGGUGGUUCUGUAUGCUCGUUUCUGACAACCGGACUCUGAAGUUGGUCACAUAUUAUGCAUAUUGUUGAGGAACUCUUGUCUAAUUUGGAUUUCGUAAAGAAAGUACAAACAUGAGAGGGAGGAAGGAGUUGUUUCUCAAACCUUUAAUUGUCACGUGCAUUGUCAAAUGUUUAUUUGAGUUUAUGCUCUAAAUUGUUUCCAAGAGUUCUAGCAGAUGAAGAGAACAUUCGAGUUUCUUUCUUUCGAUCUCAAGAAAAAGCUCUCACAAGCUAAAGGCGACCGGCCAAAACGAUUAAACCUUCUACGAGGAUUCUUCAUAUGGAUUAAGCAGCCAGAGGAAUUCAGCCCGUGGCACGACAAAGAAUGCCUCGCCGUGCGCCCAGG